UACGUAGGGUGCGAGCGUUAAUCGGAAUUACUGGGCGUAAAGCGUGCGCAGGCGGUCUGUUAAGACCGAUGUGAAAUCCCCGGGCUCAACCUGGGAACUGCAUUUGUGACUGCAUCGCUGGAGUGCGGCAGAGGGGGAUGGAAUUCCGCGUGUAGCAGUGAAAUGCGUAGAUAUGCGGAGGAACACCGAUGGCGAAGGCAAUCCCCUGGGCAUGCACUGACGCUCAUGCACGAAAGCGUGGGGAGCAAACAGG
rnacentral:rRNA from 1 species